CGCCUGUUUAUUAAAAACAUGGCUUAUUGUUAAUAAUUUUAAGUUUAACCUGCCCAAUGAAUAGAAUUAUUUUAAUGGCCGCGGUAUAUUGACCGUGCAAAGGUAGCAUAAUCCUUAGUUUUUUAAUUGAAAGCUUGUAUGAAGGGUUUGAUGAAAAAAUUACUGUCUCUAUUUAAAUUUACUAGAAGUUUAUUUUUAAGUAAAAAAGCUUAAAUAUUUAUAGAAGACGAGAAGACCCUAUAGAGUUUUAUAUUUAUUAUAUUAUAUAUGAAUUAGUAUAUAUUAAGAGUAAAUUUAAUAAUUAUUUAAUUGGGGAGAUAGAAAAAUUAGUUAAACUUUUUUUGUAUAUAAACAUUUAUUUAUGAGAAAUUGAUCCUUUAAUUUAGAUUAUAAGAAUAAGUUACCUUAGGGAUAACAGCGUUAUUUUUUUUUAGAGUUCAAAUUAAAAAAAAAGAUUGCGACCUCGAUGUUGGAUUAAAAUAAAUUAUUGGUGUAGGAGCUAAUAAAUUAGGUCUGUUCGACCUUUAAAAUUUUACAUGAUC
rnacentral:rRNA from 1 species